AGUCUUACUUUGAAAGGGUGGUAUUUCCGGAGGAACUUCCGGAAGACGUCCUUUUUUACUUUCCUCUAACUUUACACUCAAUUUAGGUGAAGAGGCAGUCAGACAGAGUUGCAGAACGUCAACACGUCUCCUUAAAAAUGGAUGCUUUGAGCUUCAGAGACUGUGCGGCGUGGAGGGCUGAAGGUCUUCCAUUGUCCACCAGCAGCAACGAAGCCUGCAAACUUUAUGACGCUAUUCUCACUCAGUAUGCAACAUGGCGCAACAUUGAAAGCAUUGGAGGAGUCAAAGGGUGCUUUUCUGCUAUCAAGGUGGCAGAUCCUAAUUUUGUGAUGGGACAUGUGAUGAGCACAGGCUUGGAGCUGAUAGGAACAUCCACCUCGCCACGCCUCAACCAACGUCUGGCCAGCGCUGUGAGGACGACCGUGGAGCUGGCCAACAGUCAAAACAUCACACAGAGAGAGAGGCUCCACGUCAAGGCCAUGGAGUUCAUCUCACAUGGGAACUUUCCCAAAGCAUGUGAUACCUGGGAAGAUAUUCUGGUUGAUCAUCCCACAGACUUGCUUGCCCUCAAGUUUGCCCAUGAUAGCUACUUCUACAUGGGAGCCCAAACCCAGAUGAGGGAUUCGGUUGCUCGAGUGCUGCCUUACUGGAAGCCACACAUCCCUCUGUCCAGCCAUCUGAAGGGAUUGUAUUCUUUUGGUCUGCUGGAGACUCAUUUCUAUGACCAGGCUGAGAAAGAAGCAAUGGAGGCACUUGCUCUGGUUCCAGGUGAUGCAUGGUCUGUCCAUUCGGUCUCCCAUAUCUAUGAGAUGAAAGGGGAGGUGGACAAAGGCUUGAAGUUCAUGGAGGGCAGGGAGAAAGACUGGAAGGUGUCUGAUAUGCUGGCCAGCCACAACUAUUGGCACUGGGCGCUGUACUUCAUCGAGAAGGGGGAAUAUGAGGCUGCACUGCAAAUCUUUGAUUCUGAGAUUUUCAAACGUUGUAAAGCCACAGGAUCCAUGUUGGACAUGGUCGACGCCAGCUCACUGCUCAGCAGACUGGAAAUGGAGGGUGUGUUUGUGAAGGACCGAUGGCGGGAGUUGCUCCAAAUAACACUGCCGCACACCGAGGAUCAUGUGACCCUAUUUAAUGACCUCCACUUCCUCAUGGUGUCCCUGGGAGCCAAAGAAACUGGUGCUUCUGAGCGUCUGCUGGAAGGCCUACAAGAAUUGGCUAAAACACCGGGCGACAAUUACCAGCAUGAGCUGGCUGGACCCUUAGGUGUGCCAAUGUGUCAGGCUUUGAUGGAAUAUGAAGGAGGAAACUACGCUCAAACUGUGGAGUUAAUGUACCCAUUACGUUACAGCAUGGUGAAGAUGGGGGGCAGCGAUGCACAGAGAGACGUCUUCAAUCAACUGCUUAUUCACGCAGCCUUGAAAUCGGAGAAUAAGCGCCACCAGAGACUUGGAAGAUGUCUUCUGGUGGAGCGUGACGCCUUGAAGCCAAACUCCCUUCUGACCGACCGUCUGAUGCAGAGAGCCGUGGCUCUUCAUGACUAGCAAGUGUUUUCGUGGGAUUAUAAAGUCAUACCUGAAAGUCGGAGGGCUGCGGUGAACGCCAGUGUCUCUGAGAAAAGCCAAUGGAGGAGCCAAGAUCACAGCUGCCUUUUUGACAGCUGCAGGAGGAGGUCGCAUAAUCCGCUGAAGUCUCCGGCGCAUCAACACAUGAUAUAGACAUCGUGUCCAAAAGAAGAGCGAGACGUAAUCCUGAGGCUGAAGCCACCGAGUUUAUUUGAUCUGGAUGUGACAAGUCUUGUUUUAAGGCCCAGUGGAUCAAUGAUUGGAAAGACACCAAAUGUUGAUGUUCUAUCUCAACAUUCUCCAGAUUCAUGUGAGCGAUAAACCGACUUCAUCCCUCCAACAGACACCAACUGUUGGGGUUCUAUCUCAACAUUCUCCAGAUUCAGAUGUGAGCGAUAAACCGACUUCAUCCCUCCAACAGAAACCAACUGUUGAGGUUCUAUCUCAACAUUCUCUAGAUUCAGAUGUGAGCCAUAAACCGACUUCAUCCCUCCAACAGAUUGACAGCAGGACAAAUCGCUGGAAGUGGGUAUGUCUCAAGCUUCUUCCACUUGGUCCACUCCAAAGCGAGCUGCAAAGGGGAAGAAGUGGAAGUGGUUGUUGACACAUGUUGCAUUUUGUAACUGGCAACAAAGUACCAGGUAAAAAAGAUUGUGAAGCCUGCCUCCAUAAAGAACUAUGGAGGCAGGCUUCACAAUCAGGACAGAGAUUGGCUUGCAAUCAAGUACUACAUCCAUAACAGAAUUAUAUUUAAAAAAAAGGGAAAAAAAUGUUUUCCCACAUCUUCUGUGGUAGUUUGAGUAUGUUACCAGCAAUUAAAAAAACAAGAUAAACAGCAAGCGUUUUGUAUUUAUUCUAGAUCAUUCUUAGCGACAAAAUCCACAAAAACAAUUCAGUUACACUUAGUCGACAAUUACAUUUUUACCCAUGUUUCUUUUAAACUCUUCUUGGUUUUAGAUUACAGUAGCAUGGGAUUGGGAUUUUUUUAAAAUGACAACACAUCAACUAAACCAACUCAGGUGGUUUUGUUAAGUCUCUGAUGUCAUUAGCCUCAUAUGUCACAUGAACCUGAAAUCUUUGACACUCUGUGAUGUCAUGGUUGUCAUAUUUCACAAACUUGAAAUCUUAAACACUCUGUGACGUCAUGGUCGUCAUAUGUCACAUAAACUUGAAAUCGUAAACACUCUGGUCUUCAUUUGUCACCUAAACCUGACAAGUCCUCAUAUGUACCAUAAAAAUCAGGUUCAGAAAAAAACAAAAGAGUUGCAAAAAUCUCAAUAGACCACUGUGUUUCUAAAAUUCUGGUUCACUAACCGUCUCAUUCCCAGGCCUGUAGAACCAUUGGAAAGGCGUUUUUGUCAUAAGUCCUGAUAUGUCACCCAAACACAUAUGUGUGUGCCAGGACCGGCCUCUAAAUCAGCGACAGGUGCGUAGACGGCCCACCUGGGCCUUGUUAUCUAAUCACCUGUCGCUCUGUUAUAAGCAGCAGCCAGGAGGAGAGACGGGGUUGGGGCUGGAGCCAGAGCGCUAGCGAAAACAAAAGAGAAAAAUACAAUUGCUGGAAAGCAACUGAGGGACUUAUUGAAAAAUAAAACAAUAUUGUAACCUUGAAACAGGCUCUCAUGUCGGUGCUUGGUGGUCUGAAGAACCCCCAGGAGGGCAAACCCCACACUAACCAAUAAUAAAUAAAUAACUUCUUACCAUUAACGCAACUUUUUGAACAGGUGCGGUAGAAAGGGAUGGAUAGAAUUAAAAAUGCAUGAAAAUGUUUUAUAUUUUGAACAUUAUUUUUAACACUGUGAUUACAAGUGGAAUUAUUCAUUAUUUAUCGUGUUAAGCAAUGUCAGCUCAGAUUUAUCCGAGAGCCAGAUGCAGUCAUCAAAAGAGCCACAUCUGGCUCCCAAGCCAUAGGUUCCCUACCCCUGGUCUAGAACUACCUGGAGAAAAACCACAGAGCAGGAGAUGAAGACGCAAGGGCUGUUAUGGCAACAACUGGAGCGGAGGGCUCAAGACCAAAGGAGAUGGAGGAGUUUCAUCAAUGGUCUAAGUAAUUAAGUUGUUAUCCUUGACUUUAAGGAUCUGGACAGAUACUAAAAUUGACAGCACUUCGACAGCAUCAACAACGAUAAAGGAGUUUGGUGGGAAACAAACCUCUUCGGAUCAGGCCCGCAAAAGGGUUUAAUCCGGCUCGCGAGAUGAGUUUGCCAGGUGGAAAAAUGAGCUGCAUUUUUAAAUGAAAGAAACUGCUGUUCUAAAUGUGUCCACUGGAUGUUGCAGUACGAUAUCUGUUAGGCAAGCAAAUGUACACAUCAAAGCGAGACUGCAGCUCCUUCCCUCGACCCAACGUUAAAAAGUUUCCGUUUUACGUCUCCUACUUCAAACAUCGUGCUUUGGCACCCUCAUUCUCACAAAAUGUCUCUGUCACAAACGAGAAAAGUGGACGCAGAGUUCUAAGAAAUAAAAAAAGAUCCUUCUCCUAUUCAUUUGUGGGAGUAAAUAAGAAACCACCUAUUUUUGAAGAAAACCCUCCAGGACAACUAUCUUUUCAACAAUCCACCAAUCAGACGGAAGCUAUAUCUUAGUAAACAAUUUGCAAAAAUAGACCUCAAAUACUCUCUGACCAUGAGAAACAAAAUUCUCUGGUCUGAUGAGACAAAUAUUGAACUCUUUGGCAAGAAUGCCAGGCCUCAUCAAGUUUGGAGGAAAAGCAACGCUUUUCAUCCAACCAGAUGGAGCUUGAGAGGAAAGGGUAAAACUGCCUAAGAUAGUUGUGGCAAGCUGGUGGCAUCUACUCAAAAAAGACUUGAGGCGGUAAUUGUUGCCAAAGAUGCAUCAACAAAGUAUUGAUCAAAGGCUGCAAGACAACAAGAUGUGGAUAAAGUCCAUUUGUGAAUACUUCCCAGAUGCAGAGUAUCUCCCAAUGUAUUCCAUGGAUCAAUCCUGGGACUAAACUUGUUCAAUCUCUACAGACUGUAAGUGACAUUUGUAAAGUAACAAAGGUAUUUAUAUUCGCUGAUGAGUUUAGGAAAAAAAACUGAGCUAAUACAAACAGAAGAAAUGAACAAAUUAAAAUGAUGGUUUGCAGCUGAUUUUUGCAUGACCAUGGUAACUAAUUAUAUUACCGUAGUAACUAAUUAGAUUACCAUAGUAACUAAUUAGAUGAUCAUGGUAACUAAUUAUAUUACCGUAGUAACUAAUUAGAUUACCGUAGUAACUAAUUAGAUUACCGUAGUAACUGGCAUAUCAUGCAAAAGCGCAGAUUCCAACCAUUGAAAGACUUAGUAUAGUUGAUUGACUUACGGUCAUUAGAAAACAUGACUGCACACCAUAAUGGAAGCUACACUUUCCAUCUUAAAGAUCUAAAAAAAAUUAUUUGGAAAUUUCCGACGGGCCAGAUGGAAAAGCUGUGUAAACCAGACCUGGGCCUUAAUUUGCCCAGGUCUGGUUUACACAGUACAGUACAUAUUCCGUACAAUUGACCACUAAAUGGUAACACCCGAUUAAGUUUUUCAACUUGUUUAAGUCGGGCUCCUUGUUAAUCAAUUAAUGGUAAUGUGUGUAAGGUGUGUAAUUUGUUGUGAGUUAAUGCACUGUGUUGAACAAGGUGAUGUUCAUGCACGGUUCUUUUUGUGCACCAGGAAAAAAACAUGCAUUUUUCUUAAAUUUGAAAAAAUAAAUAAAUAUAUAUAUAUAUGUAUAUGUAUAUAUGAUUUUCAGCAAAAAUAUAUAUAUAUAUAUAUUUUUUUUUUCACUAAAGAAGGGUUUGGUGAAUGCACAUAUGAAACUGGUGGGGUUGGGUACUUCCAACAAGGUUGAGAACCACUGCCUUAGAGUAACAUUUUAUUUCAAACAUUUUUAUGCACGUGCAACACUUAAAACCUUUAGUAUAUCAGUAUGUGAAGUUUAAUUAUGGAAUGGAUUAAACGAGGAAAUCAAACAAUUUACUAAUAAGAUCCAGUUUAGGAAACUGUUUAAACUCAAAGUGUUUGCAAAGUACGAAGAAGAAGAAUCUUGAUAUCUUGAAACAUAUCAAAAAAUGAGAUGAUCUUAUCUCAUAACGAGAACCGUAAGUCACAUUAUAAUUCAUUUAUGAGAACUUUAUUUAUUGUUUAUUUAUGUAUUUAAUAAAAAUACAUUUUAUUUAUCACUGUGGUGUUUCCAUGAAUUGAUUAAACAAGUUGAAAAACUUAUUGGGGUGUUACCAUUUAGUGGUCGAUUGUAGGGAAUAUGUACUGUACUGUGCAAUCUACUAAUACAAGUUUCAAUCAAUCAAUCAAUCAAAAAUCCAGUAUAUUACAAACAAAUAUGUUAAUAACUGCUAUGAUACAAAAACGGGGAGGAUUAAUAGAAUAGAAUAGAGUUUUAUAAUUUUUUAAUAAAUAAUUUCAGCUUCCUCCUACCCCUUUUCGGACAUGCAGAAAUAAAAAUAAAAAAAACAAAAUAUGUGAUGUUUUACAUUGGAAAUGAAUGCAUGUUAAAAGCUGACAUUACUAUAAGCUUAACCAUUUUGUUUGGUUGCAUAAUAUACACAAACGUAUCUCCUUCGCUAAAUAGAUUACAGUAGCGAAAGGAAUAUUAUGGUUUCAUUAAUCAUUUUGCGAUGCAGUCCGUUGAAAAUGAUGGAAAGUGCCACUCGACAUAUCAACUGACACUGUGGCCAAAGUAGGAAUUGCCACAAAACACAUUUUAAGAUAUUCGACACUGUACUUUGGAUAGUGCUCCGCCCCAAUUUGGCACGUUUCAUGUGUCAGGUAAACCACGACAAUAGCCUUCCUAGAUAAAUAAUUUUAUCCAAAUGUAAUAAUGCUGACAAACAAGACAAAAAUCAAAUAUCCGCUGCAGAGGGCACUGGUUUUCAGGUAUAUACGAAAUAAAAAUGAUAGAAGGGAAAAGUUGUGGCCAAUAACAGAAUUGAGUUCAAUAUCACUGCUCUAUGUUAUGUUUGUCACUUUGUCCCAAGAAGAUGCUGUGAGUCAAGUAACAGAGUAUGUGCGUGCUUCAAGAUGCACCUUUAAUCAGAGGUGGGUAGAGUAGCCAGAAAUUGUACUCAAGUAAGAGUACAGUUACUUUAAAGAUUUAUUACUCAAGUAAAAGUAGGGAGUAGUCACUCAAAUAUUUACUUGAGUAAAAGUAAAAAGUAUGUUGUGAAAAAACUACUCAAGUACUGAGUAACUGAUGAGUAACCUGUUUGUUUAAUGAUGACGGCAACAAAUAAUGCACAAAAACAUAAAAAUAGCAAUGAGCAAAUUCAGAGCCAGGAAUAUCUCUUAAGCAACUAAAACAAUAAUAUAUAUUAAAUAAUAAUACAUGAAAAUAAAAAAAAUUAAGGCUAAUUGAGCCACAAUAACUUAACAGCACCACAGGCUCAGUAGGCAUUGAUUGAUUUGAUUGAUUGAUUGAUUAAAACUUGUAUUAGUAGAUUGCACAGUACAGUACAUAUUCUGUACAACUGACCACUAAAUGGUAACACCCCAAUAAGUUUUUCAACGUUAAUCAAUUAUUUAAUAAAUGACCAAGUCGAGGUGAUCUACCUCAUAUAUACAUACACACACAUAUCAUAUAUAUAUAUAUAUAUAUAUACACACACACAGUAUAUAUACAGUAUAUAAUUUAUAAUUAUUUAUUUUGCCGUUGUUGUUGACAUGUUAAAGGUGUUUUAAUGAAUAUACAUGCAUGUUUAACAUAUAGAUUCCUAUCUUUCAUGAAGACAAGAAUAUAAGUUGGUGUAUUACCUGAUUCUGAUGACUUGCAUUGAUUGGAAUCAGACAGUAUAGUGCUGAUAACGUCCACGUUUUCAAAUGGAGGAGAAAAAAAGUUUCUCCUUCCUGUCUAAUACCACAUGAAAGUUGUUGGAUUUGGCAUCUUAUUUGUCCAGCUUCCAUAUUUGUUUUUAUACACUUUACAAGAAAUACAUUGGCGGCAAACUCCGUAGCUUGCUAGCUUGUUUGCGCUGGCUUUCGGAGACUCUUAUUUUGUUAGCGCAGGCGUGAUAGAGCGGCACUUUUAUUGUGAAGACAGGAACUGUGCGACCAGUCUUUAGGCUUUUGACGGGAAGUACGGUUGAAAUAAAGUGUCUUUUUUCCUUUACACUUUUGAUUGAUUGGUUGAGACUUUUAUUAGUAGAUUGCACAGUACAGUACAUAUUCCGCACAAUUGACCACUAAAUGCUAACACCCCAAUAAGUUUUUAAACUUUUUUAAGUCGGAUUCGACGUGUGACGGUCAUGUGACCGCCUGGCUCUGUUUGAUUGGUCCAACGUCACCAGUGACUCCAUGUGAUUGGUGAAACGCAGGCAUGUGUAGUUCCUACUUUGAAUGCGUGUCUGACAAAAUCAAAACAAACAAAGCGUGCAUUAACAGAUCGAUAAAAAAAAAAAAGUAGCGAGUAACGAGCUGAUUGUAGAUAAAUGGAGCGGAGUAAAAGUAGCGUUUCUUCUCUAUAAAUAUACUCAAGUAAAAGUAAAAGUAUGUUGCAUAAAAACUACUCUUAGAAGUACAAUUUAUCCCAAAAAUUACUCAAGUAAAUGUAACGGAGUAAAUGUAGCGCGUUACUACCCACCUCUGCCUUUAAUACGUCUCCCAGGCUGGCUGAGGCCGCCGUGAAAAGCGUGUUACUCAUCCGUGAAAGACGGAUCACCUUGAAACUCAAUUAGCUCUUUCAUUACUUUGAGACAACGCAUUCAGCCAAUUAUGAGUCUGCGAGGAAGUUGAGGUCGUUUUCGGAACUUAACUUUUCAGCGUGAGGCUAAUUUAUUCAUUUGCCCAUUUGAGGAGGACGGCACUCACCUCUCCGGGAGUGGGAGGGCAGCAGGAAUAGGGAACGGCGCAGCGCUCCGAGCUGGGGUUGGCUUUCGAACAAUUGAAGUACAGGUUCCAGGACCAGUCUGUGUAGUUGUUCCAUCCACAACACUGAAACUGUAAAAGGGAAUCCACAUGCAGUAUUUAGAAAUAUGGAGUGUGCCAUGGCGUGCCAGUGUGGAUCAGGACUGCCCAAAACCUUUUGUCUCCAAUGGGCCAAAGUAAAAAUGUGCCAAUGGGCCGCGGUUUGAAGAAGAGGUGUCCCAAUAGAAUUAUUUCACUUCCAUAGAAUAACGACCAGUGUUAACUUUGUGUUUUAUUUUUAGUCUUCUAAAUUGAUUUUGUUUCAGUCGACCAAAUUCCUCAACAUUUUAGUCUCCUAAAAUUCCAGUAAAUUUUGUCGACUAAAAUAUAAAAGUAUAAACUGUAACACAUAUUUAAUGUUGUCUAAAAGGCCUACUGAAAUGAGAUGUUCUUAUUUAAACAGGAUAGCAGGUCCAAUCUGUGUGUCAUACUUGAUCAUUUUGCGAUAUUGCCAUAUUUUUGCUGAAAGGACAUCGACGAUAAAGUUUGCAACUUUUGGUUGCCAAUAAAAAAAACCUUGCCCUUUACCAGAAGUAGCAGAAGAUGUGCGCGUGACGUCACCGGUGUGAGGGCUCCUCACAUCCUCACAUUGUUUAUAAUGUGAGCCUCCAGCAGCAACAGCUAAAUGGACCGAGAAAGCGAGAAUUUCCCCAUUAAUUUGAGCGAGGACGAAAUAUUCGUGGAUGAGGAAAUUUAGAGUGAAGGAAAAAAAAAAAAAGACGAUCACAGUGUUCAGAUGUUAU